AAUAAGUACAGCCAUGAGUUUCAGCGUCCAACUUUUAUCGUCCGUCUUAUUUAAAUUUUUUUUAUAAUUAGCAAUUUUGUUGUUAUAAGAUAAUAAAACAUGAAUACUACUUUACUCGUGAAUUAUGUUUUUAAUUUUUUUCAAAAAUUUUUCAAAUAUCGUGAAUUAUGUUUUUAAUUUUUUUCAAAAAUUUUUCAAAUAAGAUGAGUGAUUAAAGUUGGGCGCGGAAAACGAUGGCUGCACUUAUU
rfam:Oryza barthii chromosome 8, whole genome shotgun sequence.